GACUGCCUCUUCCUCCUAUUUAUGCAUCUAGCUGAGUGCCCACUGAUUUUGAUCACAAGAUACAUUUUUAUAUACACAAUUUACCUUCGACCGGAGGCUGAUACUUUGCGCUAACAAUGAGGGCUUCUUAUCACUCACUGCUUAUGAUACUUGUCAAUUUUUGGGGUGAGAAUUCUGCACUCCAACUGAUGCAAGGUGAUAGCAUCUCAAUAGUACAGAAAGGACAUGGAGUAACUUUGAAUUGUAGCAUGGAAGGGGGGGAAAUGGAGCGCUACUAUAUGUUCUGGUACAAAAAGGACAGCAAAGGACAAAUUAUUUUUGUUUACAGAGAAGGAGAUGUGUAUGGACCAGGCUUUCGCGAUAUUGUUGUCGGGAAUGUUAAAGCUAAUUUGUUCACCCUACAUAUCAAAAGCUCUGCUCUGACAGAUCAUGGUAUUUAUUACUGUGCUUCAAGAGUGGCACAGUGUAAAAUACUUGCAUUGUUUAAUACAAUAAGCUCUCUCUGCACUACAGAAUUGCUUACAAUAUCAAAUACUCCAAAUAUAAAGAACAAAAAAGUUUUCCCUUUAACCCUAGAUCAACAAAGUUAA